GACGAACGCUGGCGGCGUGCUUAACACAUGCAAGUCGAGCGGUAAGGCCCUUUCGGGGGUACACGAGCGGCGAACGGGUGAGUAACACGUGGGUGACCUGCCCUCAGCUCUGGGAUAAGCCUGGGAAACUGGGUCUAAUACUGGAUAUGACUCCACAGUGCAUGUCGUGGGGUGGAAAGCCUUGUGCGGCUGAGGAUGGGCCCGCGGCCUAUCAGCUUGUUGGUGGGGUGAUGGCCUACCAAGGCGACGACGGGUAGCCGGCCUGAGAGGGCGACCGGGCCACACUGGGACUGAGACACGGCCCAGACUCCUACGGGAGGCAGCAGUGGGGAAUCUUGCGCAAUGGGCGAAAGCCUGACGCAGCGACGCCGCGUGAGGGAUGACGGCCU
rnacentral:rRNA from 1 species